AGGUCAAGCUACAAAGGGCGCAUGGUGAAUGCCUUGGCAUCAGGAGCCGAUGAAGGACGUGAUAAGCUGCGAUAAGCUUCGGGUAGGCGCACAUAGCCUGAGAUCCGAAGAUCUCCGAAUGAGGAAACUCACAUGGGAAACCCCAUGUAUCAUUAAGUGAAUACAUAGCUUAAUGAAGGUAACCCAGGGAACUGAAACAUCUAAGUACCUGGAGGAAGAGAAAGAAAAAUCGAUUUUCUUAGUAGCGGCGAGCGAAAGGGAAAGAGCCCAAACCGGAAACUUGUUUCCGGGGUUGUGGACAUAACAUAAAAGUGGAGGCUAUUGUAACUGAAGAGAACUGGAAAGUUCCACCGUAGAAGGUAAUAGUCCUGUAAGUGAAACGAGAAGACCACGAGUUAUGAUCCAGAGUACCACGAGACACGUGAAACCUUGUGGGAAGCAGGGAGGACCACCUCCCAAGGCUAAAUACUACCUGAUGACCGAUAGUGAAGCAGUACCGUGAGGGAAAGGUGAAAAGAACCCCGGGAGGGGAGUGAAAUAGAACCUGAAACCGUGUGCCUACAACCGCUCAGAGCCCCUUAUGAGGGUGAUGAGGUGCUUUUUGUAGAACGAGCCAACGAGUUACGGUAUGUAGCAAGGUUAAGUACUUAAGGUACGGAGCCGAAGGGAAACCGAGUCUGAAUAGGGCGACUAGUUGCAUGCCGUAGACCCGAAACCGGGUGACCUAUCCAUGGCCAGGUUGAAGCGAGGGUAAAACCUCGUGGAGGACCGAACCACGUUGCUGUUGAAAAAGCAUGGGAUGAGCUGUGGAUAGCGGAGAAAUUCCAAUCGAACCCGGAGAUAGCUGGUUCUCUCCGAAAUAGCUUUAGGGCUAGCGUCGAGUAUGAGUAGUGGAGGUAGAGCACUGAAUGGGCUAGGGGGCAUAGCGCUUACCGAACCUUAUCAAACUCCGAAUGCCACAUACUUUGAGCUCGGCAGUCAGACUACGAAUGAUAAGAUCCGUGGUCAAAAGGGAAACAGCCCAGAUCGUCAGCUAAGGUCCCAAAGUGUAAGUUAAGUGGGAAAGGAUGUGAGAUUUCUAAGACAACUAGGAUGUUGGCUUAGAAGCAGCCAUUCAUUAAAAGAGUGCGUAAUAGCUCACUAGUCGAGAGAUCUUGCGCCGAAAAUGUAACGGGGCUAAACUUACCACCGAAGCUACGGGCUUGAACUUAGUUCAAGCGGUAGGAGAGCGUCGUAACCGGGCUGAAGUCGUACCGUAAGGAGCGGUGGACUGGUUACGAGUGAGAAUGUUGGCAUCAGUAGCGAGAUGUGGGUGAGAAUCCCACAGGCCGAAAACCUAAGGUUUCCUCAGGAAGGUUCGUCCGCUGAGGGUUAGUCGGGACCUAAGCCGAGGCCGAAAGGCGUAGGUGAUGGACAACUGGUUGAUAUUCCAGUACCACUACCAUCGUUAUUAUCGAUGGCGUGACGCAGGAGGAUAGUGUGUGCUAGCUAUUGGAUGCUAGUCUAAGCGUUUAGGCAGUGAGAGUAGGCAAAUCCGCUCUCAUAAUGCUGAGGCGUG
rnacentral:rRNA from 1 species